CCUGAUCCAGCCAUGCCGCGUGUGUGAAGAAGGUCUUCGGAUUGUAAAGCACUUUAAGUUGGGAGGAAGGGCAUUAACCUAAUACGUUAGUGUUUUGACGUUACCGACAGAAUAAGCACCGGCUAACUUCGUGCCAGCAGCCGCGGUAAUACGAAGGGUGCAAGCGUUAAUCGGAAUUACUGGGCGUAAAGCGCGCGCUAGGUGGUUUGUUAAGUUGAAUGUGAAAGCCCCGGGCUCAACCUGGGACUGCAUCCAAAACUGGCAAGCUANGAGUAUGGCAGAGGGUNNUNGANUUUCCUGUGUAAGCGGNGAANUGCGUAGGNUAUAGGAGGGAACACCAGUGGCGANGGCGACCACCUGGCUAAAUCUGACACUNAGGU
rnacentral:rRNA from 1 species